UACAGAGGUCUCAAGCGUUGUUCGGAUUCAUUGGGCGUAAAGGGUGCGUAGGUGGCGCCAUAAGUCGGGUGUGAAAUCUCGGGCUUAACUCCGAAACUGCAUUCGAUACUGUGGUGCUCGAGGACUGGAGAGGAGACUGGAAUUCAUGGUGUAGCAGUGAAAUGCGUAGAGAUCAUGAGGAAGACCAGUGGCGAAGGCGGGUCUCUGGACAGUUCCUGACACUGAGGCACGAAGGCCAGGGGAGCAAACGGG
rnacentral:rRNA from 1 species